GAGUCGUUCGGGCAACACAAGGCUUGGCUUGUCAGCUACCGUCACCGAUCCUUCAAUUCCUGGGAUGCGAUGAACAAGCUCACUCCGGACACGUUCGACUCCUCCGGAGGCAGGGACCCUGCAAUGCUCUCCAGGGCUUUCCUGCUUUUCCUGCUCUACAAGGAUUGCCUCCUCGGAAGGAAGAAGUUCGUAGAGCAGGUUCGUGACUUCAUCAGCCAGUACAAGUUCACGACGACAAAUUCGGAUAGCGCCGUCGACAU